UACUUAGGGUGCAAGCGUUAAUCGGAAUUACUGGGCGUAAAGCGUGCGCAGGCGGUUAUGUAAGACAGAUGUGAGAUGCCCGGGCUUAACCUGGGAACUGCAUUUGUGACUGCAUGGCUAGAGUUUGGCAGAGGGGGGUAGAAUUCCACGUGUAGCAGUGAAAUGCGUAGAUAUGUGGAGGAACACCGAUGGCGAAGGCAGCCCCCUGGGUCAAGACUGACGCUCAUGCACGAAAGCGUGGGGAGCAAACAGG
rnacentral:rRNA from 1 species